rnacentral:lncRNA from 1 species
GCCUUUUCGGUGACACUGGAAGUUUACAGAACCUCCAACAUAAUAACAGAGUUUUGUUCCGAUUCCCCAUUCCCGUCUACGGUUGUCUUAACGCCGGCGAGGCCCACUGUGCACGGCCAAAGGUAAUUCUUUAUUUCUUUGCAUUUACAUAAAUGUGCUUCGCUAUUCUGUGCCGUACGUUGCGGAGCGGUGCGUCUGUAGGGUGCACACAUGUGUCACAAGCAGAGGCGAAAAAGUCAAUCACACCAACACAACCGCAGCCGAUAGCCACAGAAGAGGUGGUGGUAUCGUCGUCGGCGUCGCCGUACCGCAACACCCGCGCGCAAAUAACAAAACACAGCGCCGACGCGUUGCUACAAUGUAUCGGCAUUUACUUACU